rnacentral:rRNA from 1 species
GACGUAGGGCGCGAGCGUUGUCCGGAUUUAUUGGGCGUAAAGAGCUCGUAGGCGGCUUGUCGCGUCGACUGUGAAAACCCGUGGCUCAACCAUGUGGUCUGCAGUCGAUACGGGCAGGCUAGAAUUCGGUAGGGGAGACUGGAAUUCCUGGUGUAGCGGUGAAAUGCGCAGAUAUCAGGAGGAACACCGGUGGCGAAGGCGGAUCUCUGGGCCGUAACUGACGCUGAGGAGCGAAAGCAUGGGGAGCGAACAGG